UUCCGCCCGGCGGCCGAUGCCCGGGGCGGAGCGGCGGGGGAUGGCAGGGCCGGGCCUGGACGGGACGGCCCGGCCCGAUCCGGCUUAACCCCACUCGGCUCGGCCCCGGGCCCGGCCUCCGGGGCCUGCGGGCAGGCGCGGGGAGGCGGCGGGUCCGGGGGGCGGGGGACGGCUUAGCGCGGCGCACGCGGCGCGGCGGUCACGGCGCGGGUGCAGAUCCCACCAAAGCUCGGCCUGCCCUCCCCACGCUGCUGGACAGCCCGGCUGGUCGAUUUUCUUGCUCCUGUUUGAAAUAUGCCUUAUAACCUUACAAGUUUUCAGAAGACCACUGUGUUUCACUGGGAUAAAGAAUAUUGCAUCUGCUUCAUAGCAGGAGGAUGUUGUAUGUGUUACAGCUUAACUUUGUUCUACUUUACACCUAGAUAAAGGAUGAAGACUGUCUGUACCAUUUUGAUUACCUCUUCUAGGGUUCAAAGAGAAUCAUUUCCCCUGACCUCCAUUUGCAAAUGGCUCAGCUUGAUCUAACUGGCACACAGAUAAACGUGCUGUUACACAAAAGUUACAGUAGCAGGAACCACCUCAGUGCCCCAAGCUCCUCUGCCCGUGUCGGUGGCUCUCUGUGACCAGCCAAAAGCCGAGUGAGAGUCCUGAGCGCUGCUCCCGAGGAGUUUGGGUGUGAAUGGACAGUGCUGCCACCCCGAGAGAUGAGACAAAGGACCCUGCGCCCCGACAGCUCAGCGAGCUCCAAAGAUGAGAGUCCUGCACAGCGAGCCCUGUGCUCUGCCUCCAGAGUGAUCUCCGUUCCUGCUGAGCUCACCUCACUGCUGCUCACCAGUUUUGCUUUUGGGAUUUAGACACCUCUUUUUCCCCCCAUUUUACACAAAGACUGUUAAUAGGACUGUUAGUGGAAUGAGCAAAGCCAAUACUCCCAGGGUUUAACUUGGUACCAAUAGCACCUUUUGCCCCAGAAUGCCUUACCAACGCCACCCGGCCCGCGUGUCCCACUGUACGACUUGGCCUGACGUUUCCGCUGGCUUAGGCGCCACCUCAGCCUCCCGAGCUGACUUUUAGGGACAUUUCCGCACGUAGCAUCUCCUCCGAGAGUCAGACACCACCUGGCUGCCGGCUGCGGGAGCUCUCCCCGUGGAUGUGCUCGGAGCUCCGGAGGCCGCGAGUGCAGCCCGCGGGCCGAUGCCGUCCGGCUGAGCUGCGGCAGCGCCCGAGGGAUGGCGCAGGGAGGGGAGGCAGGCGCUCCUCCCGUGCGCCUCUGGGUGCGCCGCGUGGGGGUUUACUGCGAUGAGCACCGCAAAACCUGGCUCGUGGCUGCGGAAGAGGAGGAAGGUAUGCUGAGGGCUCGGAUCCAAAGAGUUCAGGUUCCCCUGGGUGAGGCGCUGCGACCCAGCCAGCUCCCCCCAUCCCGGCUGCCUCACAUGUGGCAGCUGUCCCAGGCUUGAUGGUGUUGAAGAACUGCUGCUUAAACUCGUGCCUGGGGAUUAAUCUGUUCCUGAACAUGUCCCGGAAGGAUCCCUGCCAGAAACAAGCCUGUGAAAUACAGAAAUGCUUGCAAGCCAACAACUACGUGGAGUCCAAGUGUGAAGCUGCGCUCCAGGAGAUGCGGAAAUGCUGCGCUCGGUUCACCAAGGGCAGGUCCGUCUGCUGUUCAGGGUUUGAGAGAGAAGAAAUGGAGAGAGAAAAGGCUAAGUUGACUUCAAAAGGAAUUUCCCCACCACCUCAGUAACACAAAGCAUGGACUCACUUGAAGAGCUCGUGUGUGUUUUUUCAAGCCUUCUUUAGACUUUCAGAAAAGCCAGAUUGCUCCUGGAACACACCGUUCAGCACACCAAAAAGCAUUACACAGUACCAACAUAUGGCCUGGUUAACAAACUUUAUUUUCUGUACGAAAACAUAAUCUAUGUUGCCUCUGCAUCACACCUGUGAAAUGUCAACUUGAUGUUUUUAGGAUGCUUACCUUACUCUAAUCCAUCCUUGCUCUAAAAAUGGAGAAUUGGAACCGAGUUAUUCUGGCUUCUGGAGCGAGAGGUACAGGAAAUGAGCUCAGGAGAGUGAGUUUAAACACGAAACAAACCCAUCUUGAUACAACAAAGGUAUUGCUGCCACCGUGCAGUAGUUCCAGACAACAUUUGCCUGUCCAGUGGUUCAAGCUCAAGAAUGGGCAUCAGGUCUGAUGAUUGUUCCUAAGUCUUGUAUAGAUCAUGAGUGACUGCAAGUCACUUUGCCUAAGUGCCUCACUUUUCCACUGGACAGAGUUGUUUAUUUUAUAUUUGAAUUGCCUACACGCUGCUAUUUGCAUGAUAAAGAUGUUACAGGAAUAUAAUUUCAGGGAUUGCUACAGGGAUAGGAUAUUUUUUUAAAAAAGCAAUAUGCAUUUGAAAGAUUUGACUGUUGAUACAAAAUUUAUAAAUUUAUGUCUAAUUGAACACCUUUAAGCAAUAUGCUUUGAAUCCAAGUCUAAUUAAAACUGCUGAUACCCAAAGGCCUGUCACAGAGCCCUGGGCUAGAUCCAAGAACUGACUUAGGUGCUGCUUACUGAACAAGCAGUUGUAGGCAGUUAUUUUCCACACAACAUUCCAGACUCACUCCCAAGCCGGCUGUGUCUGGGCCCCAGGAGAGAUGGCUUUCCAGAAGCUCUCGGCCAUGCAGCAGAAUUUCCUGUGACCUGUAGGAAGAGCUCAUAGACAGGUUCCUGCACCACCCUUCAGAGCUGCCUGUCUGCUGUCCCCUGUAGCAGGAGUCCAGGCACCCAAAUAUCAGGCUCCCAACCCACUAGCCCUAACUCUGUAUUAGAUCUAGCCGUAAAGGACUUUUGUGCUGUGAUCAAGUACAACUUACUUAUGAAAUAGAGCUUCUAUAAACCACUGAGGUCUAGGCACAAUAGUUGUGUGUACUGAAGCCUAGAAGAGCAAACCAUCUGUAUUCACUGCUCUGAAAUACCAUGGUACAAAAUAAACGACUGGAACAAA